AUGCCGACGAUGUACUGGGGCCCAAUCAUCGUGGCGGUGGUGCUGCUCAUCCUGCUCUCGCCGGGGUUCCUGUUCCAGCUGCCGGCGAGGGUGAGGGUGGUUGAGUUCGGCAACAUGGGUACUAGCGGCUUCUCCAUCCUCGUCCACGCCAUCCUCUACUUCUGCCUACUCACCAUCGCGGUUGUGGCCAUCGGAGUGCAUGUGUAUGCCUCCAAACCCGGUCCAGUAGGGUAA
rnacentral:rRNA from 1 species